ACUUAAAUUAAAACACUGCCUUUUCUUUGUUUUUAAUUGUGGUUAAAUAUAUCACUGCAUAUUUUAAGCAUGGUUACUUUAUAAUUCAGACCUCCCUAGUUUUUCCUCACUGAAUAUUUCUUUGGACUUUUGUAUUUACCUAUUAGGAACAUAUGUUGGGGGGAAAAAUGGGAGAAUCCUUUUAUAAACUGCUUUAGAGGCUCAAGGGACAGUAGAUGUAAAAAUAUGCUCUUCAAAUAUAAACCACUCUACAAAUUCCAUUUAUUUUUAUUAUUGCUACAGUAUAUUCUUAACAGGUUAAUUUUCCUCAUAAUAAAAUGCAUUUUGCAUCUCGGCAAUUAAACCAUCUUAUACUAAACCCUCUUUUAAAGAAUAUGAAAGGUCCGAUACAGUCCCAGGUUCUUUCCCUUCCUACUAUCACAUCUCAAGUUGCUGUUACAGUGAAGUCAAAUGUUGUGUUAAACUGUGAUGAACUUGCUUUGAGAUGCUCUUUCAAUGUAGUGUCUCCUUCCAGUUUGAAGCUAUUAUCCCUCAAAGUCCUCAAAGGGCAAAAGAUAAUGAGUCAUCUUCAGAGCCCUAGAGACUGACAGGAAAGCUGUCCUCCUCAUAAAUGAUAUUAGUAAGAAACCUCUACGUUGAAGGAGGAAGGGUAGGUAGGGGAAAAGGAGAAACACAACCCCUCAUACCGUGUAAUUUCCAUAUGAAUUCAUACAUGAACCAAAGUAAUAUACCUAAAAGCGAAACAAAGUCACUACAAAUGCUGUAAAAAUAACUGGCGUUGAGGAAGAUAAGGACGCUGCUGCCUAUUGAUCUGAAUCCCUUUUGCCUGUUGGUUCUCACUUGACACUACACCAUGGCAUUUCCUUUUGUGACCCCUGGGUCUUGAUCUGAAAACCUAAACAGUCAUUUCUCACUGAGUGGGGAGAGAGCAGUUGUGUUAACAUCUGUUUUUUAGGUCUUUUAUUUUUAAGUUCUUGUUGAAAACUCCUUGAUCUGCCUACCAGGGAAUUGAAGCACAUUCCAUGUGCCUGCCGCCUAGCUCUCUUUUCUCUUUAUUUGUUCUACAGAAUAUUGAUUUAGAUUUUGGCCUAUUCGCAUUGCUUUAAACUUUUAAACACUGGCUCUUAUAGCUAGAGGAAACACUUUGCUGAAGCUAAAAUGAUCACCCAAGAGAACUUAUUGGGGAAGCACACAGACCAAAAUUAGCCCUUGGCUCUGAAUGUACAGCUCCCAUUGAAACCAGUGGAAGCUGAACUCUUAGGAUUUGAAGACACAUUUUCCUUUACAUUGAGCAUAAAGGCUUUUUGAAAGGGCUGGGUUUAUUUGAGUUUCUGUUAAAGAAGCUGAAUUAGCUCUCUGUCACAGGAUAAAAAGAGAGGCAGCAUUGCUUCUCUAAUUUGUCUUGUAAGGGUUUUUUUGGAUAUCUAACAAAAUUGCCAAGACACCCGUUUUUGUUUCUCUACACUGAUUGUUUAAUAUUACAAAGGACCAGGCAUCAUACCAAGCACUUUCAGUCUUCUAAGUUCCUACAACAUUUUACUAUAACAUUUCCUAAUCCUUUACAACCAAAAUAACAAUAAAAAACAGAGUAAUAUUUAGAAUCAAGAUGAGAGAAUGGGGAAAUGAUGGUUGAAAGCAAGCAGUCUGAGUUUCUGAUGAGCAAAAAUAUUUUCAGUUCUGACUUUAUCAACUGACGACUGCCAUAAAUCCUUUCACUCUUCAUAAAGGUCUUUUAUUAUGCUAUGGGUAGUGCUAUUGAGAAAUAUCAGACUUUCCAAUGCUUCAUCUUGUAACUGAUCUUACUGUUGAAAUGCUCAGGAUUACUUAACUGGAACAAACUAAGAGUCUGUGGCUCCCUUCGUUCACAAGUGGCAUGGAUGUACUGGCCACAAGGAACCUCUGCACCGGCCUUUCGCGGCAUGACUUCACUACAGAGCACUUCUCCAAGGCUCAUCUGGGUGCUAACACAGUGCCAUCAGGUUGCUAAUUUGCUCAGGAGAAUCUUACCCUGGUUUCCCCAACUGUCCACAAAUAUAAAAUGCAUAUUGUAUACUUUGAGGUAAGUAAGGGCAAGGGCCACAUCUCACUUAUUUUUCUAUCUCCCAUCCCUAACAUAUUAAUAGUUCCUAUACAGAAGCAAUUAAUGUUUACUAAACUUCCAUGAAUAAUGAACGAGAGAGGCCAGAUCACACAAGAAACCAUAUGAGUUCAUAGAAAACAAACCAUGAAAGACCCUGAGAAAGGUAAGCCAGUUCUCAACGCACAAAGUAAGACCAUGCAUCAGCGUUCAGUCGCUAAGUCAUGUCAGACUCUUUGUGACCCCAUGGACUGUAGUCCACCAGGCUCCUCUGUCCAUGGAAUUUUCCAGGCAAGAGUACUGGAGUGGGCUGCCACUUCCUCAUCCAGGGGAUCUUCCAACCCAGAGAUCAAACCUGCAUCUCCUGCAUUGGCAGGUGGAUUCUUUACCACUGAGCCACCUGG
ensembl:lncRNA